CUUUUCUGGUGUUUUUUGUGGGUGAGCCUAGUGUACAGAUUUUUACCAGCACAAGAUGAGAACUCAGUCAAACUGAGAAGUUCCCAUGCAAGUUCUGUGAUCUGUGUUAAUCAGUUGACUUCCUAAUCAUUACUGAGAAAUGCGUGUUUUUGCAGACAAAAUCACAUGAUCCAUUCUCGUACCUUCUGGAGGAAUCCAUCCCUGUCCUGAAAAUGUCCUCCAGUACUCCAACUUGCAAAAGAAAUAAUAUCUAGAGCAAAGCAUGAAAAGCAUGAAGGAUAAGUUGAGAUUUCAUCUGAGAUCUGGGAUUUAAUGGCAAAAAGGACAAGAAUGCAGUGGAAUGGUUAAGAACAAGAGAGGCAGAAUAGCUGUCCUUGUUUCUGCUUAAGAAGAUAAAAUAAGUAGGCUUUUUCUCCUUUGUAUAAGGAUGGCACAAUGUGAUAAAGGCUUGUGGUAGUGAGAAAAUAUAUUUUGUCUCUUUUUUUUGGUCCAUAAUAUAUGUAUUUGCCAUUGUAAUGAAGAAAUAAUUUCUGUAAAUAGUUACAAAUUCGUGAGUUCAAAUUAAGGAAAUGUGAACACAUUUCUGGAACAACUUAUUCUACAUCUUUUAAUACAUUUGCAAUUCUAAUUCAGUAGAUCUCUAAUACUUUCUACAAUUACAUCACUACUCUGUAUUUUAAUGGUAGUCAUAUCCAAGGGUAUGUUAAUAUGCAAUAUGUUCUUCAACCACUACAUACCCUGUAUGCUUGGUAGUUUAUCAGAAACUAUAGUUUACACUUAACAAGGAAGAGAAAAUUAGUUUUCAUUGUACACUAUUUUCCUGAGGAAGUUUCAUCUGUUUAAAACAGGCCAUAUUAAAUGAACUAUAUCUGUUUGUUGUUAAUGCUUUUGUUCUUCAAUAUUUAUCAAUGGGCCAUUGCAGUGAUCAACAUUGAGCUGUGAGUGUGUCUAUGUCUGUAUACACAGAUAUAAAAGAAUUGCCAAUGAUGAUAACUGUAAACUUAGGAGAUAAAAUGUAAUGCAGGCUUCCCUGGAGUUCUUUGAGGUAUCCAUGUUCAGCUGAGCAAAUCAAAUUAGUGGACUGUGAUAAUAUAAUGUGAUGAC